UAAUGAAAAUGAAAAAAGGAACUGCGUCAACAGUUCCCUUUUGACAGCACCGUUUAAAGAACGGUGACAGUAGAUAAUUUUAAAUCAAA
rnacentral:sRNA from 1 species